CUUCACCGAGCCCAGCAGCAGCGGCCGGUCGGCGGGACGGUCCUGCCCGUACGUGGCGAUGAGCGCCUGCGCCUC
rnacentral:antisense_RNA from 1 species